UACGUAGGGUGCGAGCGUUAAUCGGAAUUACUGGGCGUAAAGCGCACGUAGGCGGCUUUGUAAGUUAGAGGUGAAAGCCCGGGGCUCAACUCCGGAACUGCCUUUAAGACUGCAUCGCUUGAAUCCAGGAGAGGUGAGUGGAAUUCCGAGUGUAAAGGUGAAAUUCGUAGAUAUUCGGAAGAACACCAGUGGCGAAGGCGGCUCACUGGACUGGUAUUGACGCUGAGGUGCGAAAGCGUGGGGAGCAAACAGG
rnacentral:rRNA from 1 species